UACAGAGGUCUCAAGCGUUGUUCGGAUUCAUUGGGCUUAAAGGGUGCGUAGGCGGCUGUCUAAGCAGGGUGUGAAAGCCCCCGGCUCAACCGGGGAAUUGCGUUCUGAACUGGACGGCUGGAGUGGGAUAGAGGUGUGCGGAACUUCCGGUGGAGCGGUGAAAUGUGUUGAUAUCGGAAGGAACGCCGGUGGCGAAAGCGGCACACUGGGUCUCAACUGACGCUGAGGCACGAAAGCCAGGGGAGCGAACGGG
rnacentral:rRNA from 1 species